AAGAAGGAACAACACUGCAUAUGUUGAAACGCUUUUAUUGCUGAACUAUAUACAAUAAAUAAUAAUGCGAUAAACCUAUAUAUAAAAAAUAGUGAUGCUUGUAUAACAAUAAUAUUGAUUCUGCAAUUUAGGUUAUUAAAAUUGUUAUAAUGCACAAUCUAAACUUCAUGUAAUUAGUUUUUUUUUACCUAUUGCUGACUAUUAUGGCCUUAGCAUAACUAGCACUGGAAAAUUACACAAUAAAGUUACUGCAAAUGUCGUAAGAGAUGAUGUACAUAGCAUGCCUUUAUCUUUGCCCCAUUUCUUACUGUCCUCCUUUCACUUUUUCGCAGACCAGGUACACCCCUUCAUGGCAACGGUAUUCCCUAAUGGAAGUGACCUCUUUCGGCAGGAUAACGCGCCCUGCCACACUGUAAAAAUUGUUCAGGAAUGGUUCGAGGAACAUGACAAAGAGUUCAAGGUGUUGACUUGGCCUCCAAAUUCCCCAGAUCUCAAUCCAAUUGAACAUCUGUGGGGUGUGCUGGCCAUCAAGUUCGAUCCAUGGAGGCCCCACCUCACAACGUACAGGACUUAAAGGAUCUGCUGUUAACGUCUUUGUGCCAGAUACCCCAGCACACCUUCAGGGAUCUAGUGGAGUCCAUGCCUCGAUGGGUCAGGGCUGUUUUGGCAGCAAAAGGGGGACCAAUACAAUAUUAGGCAGGUGGUCAUAAUGCUAUGGCUGAUCGGUGUAUAUAUAAUAUUAUACUAUGUAUCUAUAGAUUUAUACUGUCUAUAACUGAAUUUCUAAAUAUUUGUCACAUGAACUUUUAAAAUCUAUAGUUAUUGUAUUGAUAUUGUUUGACGCAUUCCUAAGAAAAUUAUCUGUAGUCAGAGAUUGGUUGAUAAGUUAUAUAACUUACAAUAAAACUAAGCAACAAAUUUAGAUAAAUCUUUAGGAUUCUCAUGAGGAAUACCAUUUAUUAAUUUCUGUUUUCUAAACUGAAAAAAAUGUAGUAUUUUUUUUCACCUGAAUCCAUCCAUUUUUGUCUUGAUUUAACAAAGACACCCUUAGUCUUCUCUUCAUAAAUUCCAUCUAAUUGGUUUUGCAAUGUUAUUAAUUUUAUUAAAUCAUUAUUAGAAAUAUUUUGAUUACUUUUAGAUGUAAUGCACAUUAUUUCACUAAUAAUAUUAUUUUCGUUUUCUUUUUUCUUUUUCAAUAUAAGUUUUCCAUAGUAAAUAGCCAAUUUUCUUACUUCAAAUUUCAUUUGCUCCCAAUAAUUCCUAUAACUCUGCAAAAUUGAUGCUUGCUUCCAAUAUUUUUCAAUUAUGCGCUUUAUUUCUUUUUUGAAAUCAUUAUUGUUCAGUAAAUUUCUAUUAAAAUUCCAGUACCCGUUGUUUAUCUUGUUAGAUUGGUUACUUAAUAUCAGUCAAGAUAGAUGUCUCAAUUAUAACAGAUUCAACUUUAUCUUUAAUAUCUGAAAUGAGCCAAAAAUCAAUACGUGAUUGCAUAGAUUUGUUCUUAUUACUCCAUGUGUACAUACUUAAUUGUGGGUUUUUAUAUCUCCAAAUGUCUAUGAUGUCCAAUCUUAAACAUAAAUUAUUUAGUUCACUUACUAAAUAUACCGCUGACAGAUUUAGGGGACCAGCUAUCCGAUCUUUCAUCAAAAACCGUGUUAAAAUCACCACCCCAAUUACUUUAGCAGAGGAAAAAUUAGUGUGAUUAAUAUUGUCCUCAAUGUCUUGAAAUAUAAGCCCAUUGUUUUUUUGUUUUUUAUUAUUGUUGUUGGCAUAUACAUUAAUGAGGAUAAAAUUAAUUUGGUUUAUCUCAAUUAAAAGGACGACCUUGAUUAUCUAAUUUUUGACUUAUAAUCUGUCCAGAAAAUUUCUCUCUUAAAAUAGUGACUCCUGCUGUUCUAUCUGAGGCACCAAAAGAAAACCAUAUGUCACAGCCCCAAUGAUUCUUCCAAAAUAUUAUAUCGUCUUUGCAAGCAUGAGUUUCUUGAACAAAACAAAAAUCUGCUUCUUUUAGAAAUGCUUUUCUAUUUACCAUGUCCUGUAUACCCCUGGAAUUAACAAAAAAAUUAAUUUUAACAAAAAUUAAUUGACAUUAAUUUGAAAAAAACUUGGAACAAUUUAGAGAACAAUAAAUAAAAUAAAGUAAUUGUUAAGUAGGUUUUGAGAGUGUAUAUAGGGUAAUCUUACUCUAAGAAUCUCGUAGACCAGUCACAAUUAAGCCACUAACCGAUUUAUAAAACAACAUCGUCACAAAACUGGCAAUGGGAAGAACAUCCUGUGUCAACAGCCUCCAGCCAGAGCUUCUUUUAACAUGUUGAUGCUAGUUGAAUAUUGUUUCAGCAUAACUUUUAUCUCAUCAGAAGUCUGCCUGAUAAUUCGAGUGAUGCUUUGCUGUACCUGAGUUAGCAUUAACUCUUCCAUAGCAUCACCACAAGUUUGAUUCUUUGGUGGUAAUCUUUUAGAUGGAGUAUUUGGAGAUGAACCCCUUUUCGGCUGAACAUGUGUGUCUCGCUGAUGAGUCUUUUCUCUAUCAUUUUCAGGGUAUCGGUGAAUAUUGCUUCAGGGGCUGGCAAAGCUGAUUAUUGUUAUUGUUUUUUUUUUUCCUUUUUUGCAGUUGAAGUUUCCGUGUCUUUUGUUAAACUUGUCACAGAGUUAAUAAUAUACUGUACAUCUGUCCUAAAAGUUCCAGACAUCAUUAUACAAUUGUGACUUGCGUCCUAAGUUACAUUUUGUAAGAAAUACCCAAAGGGUGAUCUCAGAUAGUAGAGCAAAUCUGUCUGCUCAUACCGCCAUCUUGGUCGACCCCCUUGAAGUGCCCCUUGUAGUAUUCUUAUUUUGGUCAUAAGCCAAUCAUCUGUUAGGAGUCUAUGUAUGGUUUCUCUCAUUGGCUGUAACAACUCUUCAAUAUGUUAUGCAAAUAACUCUGACUGUUCAGUUCAUGCUUGCUGUUGAAGAGACAUGCACCAUUUUCUGCACAGCUGUUAAAGUAAAUUAAAUAUACAUGUGUUUAGAGUAUACCAGCUUCCUGAUUAUAUAGUAAAACCUCACCAAACACACAAGCAUUAUACCCCUGUCUUGACUUGGCUGAGUCAGGUCGUUUGAAAUUCAACCUGAGUAACCAUUUCUUUCUACCGCAUCUAGUAAUGGCUGCUGCUCAGACAGUGUGUUUUCAUCGUCCUCAUCCUCUUAAACAUCAAUGGUAAGUACCUAUUCAACACUUUAACUAAUGUCUUAAAGGACAUUAGUGUGACUGUCACUUAACUUCUCUUUAUCUAAUGUUUGGAAGCUAGUUAGCUACAGCAACACACUAGUUAGUUUAUUAGCUAGUUACAUAGGCUAAGCACUGUUGGAUGGUAGCUAGCUAGCUGGCUAAUUAGUUAGGUUUCAUACAUUAGUUCACAGCUGCACAGUUCAGGGAACUAAAAUAUAGCGGCUGACACAUAAAACCUAUAAUGUUUGGUCAUGCCACACAGCCACAGCCAUUAACUGUAGUAAAUAAAACUACUGCUGGAAGUGCAUGGAGACUUUGACAUGGAGCUCUGACUUGAAUGGAAUGCAGCAUAGCAUUAACGUUAAUCAGUAAAACUAAUUUUUUAAAUUAGCAUUUUUGUGUUAACUACAAUGUUUGGCAGAGGUAGAAAAUAUGAAGAGAAGGGAUGAAAGAGAAAUUCUGUGGUUUCUGACCAAAAAGAAGCCCAGCCUGGCUGUUGCUGACAAUGACAGCAGUCAGUGUGAGAAGAGAGAGAAUGAGGGAGAGUCAAGCUGCCAGCAGUGGCAAAGAGCAGUGCAGCUCCCACCCCUCUUCACCAGGUUUGCAAAGUGUAGACAAAGCAAGGUAAGGACAACAGGUGAAAAUAGCUACAUAUUCUAUAUGUGACACUCAGGUUUUCAAUUUAAAACACUGAUGGGUGGGAUAUGAAAAGAAAAUAUUUCUUGUCAUUAAUUCUUAUCCCCUGUACUGAUGAGGACUGAUGGCUCUGUUAUACUGUGCAGUGCAUUUUAUUUAAGUGAAGUGAAGUGACUUGUGGCCAAGUAUGGUAACCCAUACUUGGAAUUUGUGCUCUGCAUUUAACCCAUCCAAGUGUACACACACACCGAGAACACACACCCGGAGCAGUGGGCAGCCUUUUUUUUGCUGCGGCGCCCGGGGAGCAGAUGGGGGGUUCGGUGCCUUGCUCAAGGGUCUCACCUCAGUCGUGGUAUUGAGGGUGGGAGAGAGCGCUGGUCAUUCACUCCCCCCACCUACAAUCCCUGCCGGACCCGAGACUCAAACUCACAACCUUCAGGUUCACCUUCUAGUUGCAAGUCCGACUCUCUAUCCAUUAGGCCACGACUCUCUAUCCAUUAGGCCACGACUGCCCCUGUCUUCAUGUCUACCAAAGCUCUCAAUAUAUGGUUCAAGCGUUCAGGCUUUUCUUUAAAAAUGUUUGAAUAGUUGUCAAACAUUUUGUGUGAAAAUAUGUAGGGAUUUUUAUAAUAUUUAUUUGUGUUUCAGCUGCAAACUUGGAUGACGCAGGUUCAGAUGAAUCAGAUGAAUGAUCUGGCCCAGUAGGACCUGAUGUGCAGAGCAGAGGGUUCUGUCGAGCCAUCAAAGAAUUAUUCUGCUCCCCUAGGACCUCGAUGACUGAAGCUCCUCGCAGAUCUGUGGCCGAGUGGCAUGUAAGUCUAUUGACAUUAUCUGGCUUUUACUACUCAUGAUGUGCUCAGAGAAAAUUUCAAAGUGUUUUUUAUUGUACAUACAAUAACAUACCUCCGGGCAGUCUGGCAGAUGUAUCUGAUGUGUCAAAAUGUUUUACUGGUACUUUUUUGUCAAUUGUCUUAUUUUUAGAGUAACUAUGAAUAUAAUAUGAUGAACAAUAAUAUAAUGAAUAUAAUAUAUGAUCAUAAAUUCAUGACUGAAAUUAGGUCAAGUCAUUGAAACAGCCUGAAAAAGAAGUCUUUCAUAUUGCAGCCAAAUUUAGACUUAGAGGGACGUUUUUUAUAGACGUCUUUUCAACAACCUGAAAAAGACAGCUUUUCACUUUUCAACCAUAUCUUUUUAUGCAAAGUUAUCUUUUCAACGAGUUUUUGCUGGGUGGGUUGGUUCCUGGGAAUAGCUAUUUGAACUCAAUUCCAAACUCUAUGAAUAUGAAUAGCAACCUCCAGUGGCCAAUUUAAGUGAGACUACAGUCACCCACUAUAGUGUCCCCAUUAAAAUGAAUGGUGGAAGAUAUAAGGAGAGAAGGAUAAGUCUGUAUUUUGGCAUGACAAGUCCUAAUGUACCCAUAUUUGACCAUGUGAUUUUUGGUCAUUGUAACUUGAGAAUCAAACGAAUUAGAGCAAUUUUUAAAAAAAUCCCAUUCAAGUGAAAUGGGGAAAAAAAGGGAUAAAAAAAAUGAGUGUAGCAGGGCAAAAGAUGAAUAUUUUCAAAAGCUGUAUACAAGCACACUUCAUGGGGUCAGACUGGCCAUGUUAGAGUUGGUUUGGUGUCAAUAUCCUAAAAACUGUAGGAGGGGAUAUAAUCAGGUAGAAGAAGAAGAAAAUCUGAUAAUAAUUAGUGUGUUGUUUUCCCUGUUAUUUGUGUUCUGAUGAUUUAUUUAUUUAUUUAUUCAUUUUUUUUGUAAAAAUCAGAACAAAAAUAACAGCGCUCCAGCAACUUCGCUGCUUGGACCCCAAAUUAUGGACGUGUAUGGAGUGAGAUUUUGUGACCACUGUACAUUAAUAAUAUGGAGUGUGUGAGUCCAGUCAGUGCAGUCAGUGUUUUCAUUGCACUUCUGUUUUAAAUGUUUUUAAAAAUCAUUUCCUUUCUCACUAUAGUCAUCCAAGUGAGAUUAAAAAUCUACACACCCCUGUUUAAAUUGCAGGUUUUUGUUAUGUAAAAACCAAGAAACCAAGAUAAAUCAUGCCAGAUCUUUUUCACUCUUCCACCUUUAAUGUUAUACAGCAACCACCAAAAUUUAAAUUAAAAACAAAAAGAAACAUUUUAGGAAAAAAAGAAAAAGAAAAACUUUAACUUGGUUGUACAAGUUUCAUUAGUUGCUGUGGAUAUAUUUAUGUGAAUGUGUAUUCUCCUGUACUUUUCUGCAUAGUUCAUGAGUUCAAAAGUGUUCAAAAUUAUGUUCAAAAGUAAUUAUAAUACACCCGCCAUCAUUGAACACAAAAUUUGAUGAAAGGACAACAAGAGAACUUAUCAGGGAGACUGUGAAGAGACCUAUACCAACAUUAAUGGAGCUGCAAGUAUUCAAAUUAAAUGUCCACAUGCUCAUCUGUAUCAAGAGACAAGGAUUCAUCAUUCAUGGAAAAAGACAAUGCCCUGAACUCAGCACCACAACUAAGGACUGUGACACUUAUGACAUCACUCACAUUGCUGACAUGCAAGAACAAGUGUCAAAAGAAGAGAAAUGGACAUGGAUGGAAAAUGGAGCAAAGCUCCAUUCAGAUGACAUUUGAAGUUGUAGCUCCUAAUAACUUUUACUUUGACUUAGCCACUCAAAUCCAUUCAGCCAGUCAUUUAGGUGCAGACCACAUGACUGGUUUAAGGUUUAAGGGUGGGCAGUACAAUCCAGUUUACAGAAUAAGAAGCUAUCCAGAUUGUGAAUAAUCUGCCUAGUUUGUCAACAGCACAACAUAGGUAGAGCUCAACAAACACCCAUGCUACAAGAUCCAGCUCCACCAGGCCCUUUUAGGCACCUACAGGUAGAUCUACCUCCCUGUCAGAGAAAGCAGGAUGUGUUGGUAGUGGUUGACAAGUUUUCUAGAUGGGUAGAAGCAUUUCCUACUAAGAAAGGGACAGCUCAUCACACUGCUAAAAUCCUAGCUCAAGAAUUCAUACCCCUCUUUGGCAUCCCACAGUCAGUUGAUUCAGAUCAAGGAAAACAUUUUAAAGGCCAGGUGGAAACAUGCCAGUGUAAGUUGUUUAAGGGGAACACAGGUCAUGAAAGCCAGUAGGAAGAAUCACUCCUUUCAGUGGAGUGGGGGUUGCCCUCAUGGUGAAGUACGACUCGAAAAAAUUGACAAAAUCAUGAUCAUAUUUAGUCCUAUUUAAACAGCUCACACACAGCCACAUAUAACUAAUGGACAAUAAAGACAAAGAUGAAUGUACAGUGGAUGAUUUAAUUUCACACUUCUAUGAAUUUGUUAAUUCAUUUAUUCAUUAGUUAAUUAUUUAAUAUUAGUUAAUCCUUCAUUAUAUUCUUUAGUCACAUAUUUUUAUAUUCUGUAGUCACAUAAACACAUCUGGUUCAUUUUAUUUAGGCUUGUGUGGGUGAGGAUGUAGGAAGAUGACCUUGAAGGCCUGAUUUAAGGCAUAGAGGGAGUCCUACUCUAUCAGGAGUGAUUUAAGGCACCUGCACUGAAGGGAAAUGGAGUUGCAGUCAUGUCCUCUUCUCUAAUAUGAUGGAUAGGAUAGGCUUGGAAACUAAAGACAUGAAGUAAUUCUCAUAUUCUUGGUGUUAUGUUAGAUUUUUACUAUAUAUGUACUUCCUUACCUGCUAAUUAUAUAGUCAUUUAUGAUAGUUCAUGUUAAUUUUAUCUUUAUUUGACCAAUAAGCAUGAAGUUCUUUGUCUACUUGUAACCAAUCACAAAAUACUAGCCCUGUGAGAUAAACUAUAUAAUUGCAUGUGUCACUUCUGAGUUCUUCUCCCCAGCUGUAAUGAGAAUAAACCUAUUACUCUCUGUGUCUGUGAGUUUAACUUGAUAUUUGUCUUUAGAAGGUUACAUUUCUACCACAAACGAACACUAAUAUAUACAGUUGACAUCUUUACUGCUUGGACAUUAGCUUUGUGUUACAGGUAUUGGAGAAGCAACUAGCGGACAGGAGAGGACGAAGAACUGACCCUGAGCAUUUCGUUGUGUUCAUAGCAGAAGAAGACCUGCAUCCUAUUCUGGGAACUACAGUCAUCAAACCCAGAGACAACAUUAUUGCAAGAACUAUUCACACGCGCACACACACUUUUCUGUCUAUGAGACUGAGUGACCAUAUUUUGCUGGUAUGUUUUAGUUCUUGUUUUAUUUGUUGUUCUUUUGGAAAGGUUCUACUGCAUUAGAUUCCAAACAUAAUGUGUACAAUGUGCUCUUCAACGCAACAAGAAACAGAAUGUUUGGGUUAUCUGCAUCAGUGUGCAUCACAACUUGUCAUAGUAUCACAGAGUAUACAAUAUUUUACAUGUACUCAAACAUGGUGGUCUAGGAAUUUGGGUGCAAUAAUUCCUAACUAUGGUGUCAUGAUAGCCUUGGAUCAAAUUAAAACACUAUAUUGCAAGAUACUCACUAAUGACACUGUCCUCACUUUAGGCAACAACUCUGCAGCAUUACAAUCACAUAGGAUGAUCUUGCAAAAUCGCGCAGCACUAGACUAUUUACUAGCAUCACAAGGAGGGACCUAUGCAGUCCUGGGUCCUGAGUGCUGUACUAAUGUUCUUGAUUCAACUGAAAACUUGAGUGAUCUACAAAAUGACUUGGCUAAUAUUAAAACACAACUUUAGACUAUGACUAAAAAUGACGGGACAUAGUUUGAAGGUAUAUUUGAAACAUUGUGAAAGUGGAUAAACAAUAUUAUGGUCUGUUUUGGACUAUUAAUGUUGGGUAUCCUCUAGGUUUGGAUAUGUAUUAAACUGCUGGUAUGACUUGUUACUAAGCUAAUCUACAGGCCCAUACAGCCUAUAACAAUGCUAGGUACACUGAAGGAUGAAGUAUGUCCCAUAUUAUUGUUAUUUAAUAUGAGUCUUGAGUAUUAUAACUUCCUUUUCUUUCAAUAUGGAAAGGUUAUGAAUGUUAGCUUGUAUAAAUUAAUGCAUACUCAUUGACCACUUUAAUAGGAACACCUGUACACCUGAUCAUUUAUGCAGUUAUCCAAUCAGCCAAUCAUGUGGCAGCAGCACAAUGCAUAAAAUCAUGCAGAUACAGGUCAAGAGCUUCAGUUAAUUUUCAAAUCAAAUAUCAGUAUGGGGAAAAGAUGUGAUCUGUGCGACUUUAACCAUGGCAUGGGUGUGGUGCCAGAUAGGGUGGUUUGAGAGUUUCAGAAACUGCCGGUCUCCUUGCAUUUUCACAUGCAACAGUCUCAAGUUUACACAGAAUGGUUCGAAAAACAAAAAAAAUUGAGUGGGCAACAGUUCUGUGGGUAGAAACACCUCGCUGAUAAGAGAUGUCAGAGGAAAAUGGACAGAUUGGUUUGAGCUGACAAGAAGGAUAUAGUAACUCAUAUAAUCACUCUUUCCAACCACACAAAAGCAUCUCAGCACGCACAAAACAUUGAACCUUGAGGUGGAUGGGCUACAACAGCAGAAGACCACAUUGGGUUCCACUCCUGUCAGCCAAAAAUAUGAACCUGGGGCUAUCAUGGGCACAGACUCACUGAAACUGGACAGUUGAAGAUUAGAAAAAAAAUCAUCUGGUCUUUUUCCAGUUUUCAACUGUCCUUUUGAGACAAGUUAUAUAAAAAAAACCUCUGAUGAAGGAAUGUCACUUUAUAAUGAAAGCUUAGUAUGUAGCUGUUUUAGAUUUAAAUGUAGUUUGAACACUGAGAUACACACUUCUAGCACUAACUAAAAGAUUAUUGAUUGGAAGCAGUUACAAGUUAACCUACUAAAUUAAGGUCAGAUAAUUAAGUUAAUAAUUACUAUAAAAUUGAAUUAGAUUUUUAAUUAAAUGUAUUGGAGUCAGACAUUUAAGUCAUAAAUUUAAAACACACACUUAACCUUUGGCUGCACCUAUUUCCACCCUUGGAGAACAGCUGACUAAGAUAAAAUCAUUACUAUGAUGUCCAAUCUCUUGGAUAUAAUUUUACACCUAUUAAUAGGUUAUCUUACCUAUUAUCUUAUCUUUAACUUCCUUAGAAUGCUCCUUAGUCUUGAUUUUCACUCCUUUCCUACAGACUGAUUCAAUGACUGAGGUGGUUUUUGUUCAGAAAAUGGGAGCUGUUUUACUAUUUUACAGGUGAAACCCAAUUAUGUCCUUUUUAAGAAAAUAUCUUUCAUCUGUAUCUUCUGGAAACUUGGGGGUUGAAUACUUAUGCAAGCAGCAUUUUUCAGCUUUUGAUUUUUUUUUUAAUAUUUGCUGACCAAUUUAUUAUUGGUAUGUGUAUGAAAAAUGUGUAUUUAUCAUUAGUUAUUCAGAUAAAUCUGAUAGAUUGUAAACAGCCACUGUAUGUACUAAAAGAGCUGUAUCCUCUGAAUGCAAAAUCCAAUUUCUACUAACUUUACAACACAUAUACAUUAGGAUACCCUGUGACCAUGCCAGAAAUGUCAUAACAAUGGGCAAAUAGGGGGUGCCAUAACAAAAAUAUGACUAUAUCUCCUCAUCCACUGAAAUCUGUUAUACUUCUUCUUGGAGUUUUCUUUAUCUGAAGUUAUUUUUCUAGUUAAUAUAUUUGUGCAGAAAUAUAGCACAAAUAUACUGGAAAACUGAGAAAAUGGAUGCAUGAGUCAUCAUCAAAAUUCCCCCUAUUGAUUAGCACCUGGAUGCAGCAUAUCAAAGUUUAACCUGAUCAGACUUAGUUUUCCUGAGAAACAGUUAUCUGAUAUUAGCCCCUCUACGUAUAUAUGACCAUGGCUCAAACUUGGUUUUGAUCUCAGUAUCACGUCCUGUCUUGACCUAAGAAGGUUCAGGCAAUAACUGCCGUAAUAGUACUGUAUGUUUCUCAUAUUACAUGCCAAUUAUAAAAGAUUUGAGUGGCCAUGUCUAAAUGGCCCAAAAGGCUUUUUUAUCAUUUCAGCAACAGAAUCAGGCAAACAAAUUAAUUUCUAUUCUUGUUUUCCAUUCAAAAACAUGCCUAGCACCCCCCAGGUGUGAGAUUGCAUCAGUUACUAGCAGGUCCCUACCUAAACCUACCGUUCAAGUUUCGUGACAAUUGCUCAGUGGUAACCCUGUCAAAUGCCUGCCAAAAUCUGAUUGGCUGAUGUUUCCAUAUUUUUUAAGUAAUUAGGUCGACAUUAAAAUUCCACUUAAAGAUUAGGACUUCCACCUCAUUAGAACUGCUUGAUGUGUGGUUGCCAUAUUAUUUACAAAUCUCUUUUUUCUUUUCGAAAAUGUUUUUGGAAAUUAUUGAGGUUCACACUCUUUUUUGGAAAUUAUUGAGGUUCACAGUCUUCUGAGUAGAUUUACACCAAGUUUGGGAAGAUAGGUCAAAAAACUUAGGACUGGUUGGCAAAAGUAAGUUUAAUAUAUUAUGCAAAUUAGCAUUAAAUCUAAUUUGAUUGCUGUAAAUAUUUCUUGAUGCUUGUUUAUUGUUUGGGAGAAGCCAAGGAAUCAGGGUAAAAAGAGGUUUGUUCGUAGGGCUCAUGGUUCAUGGGAUAUGGACCCAAAUGUUCAUGCUUGUGCUAUAGCAUCACCAUUAGGCUGAUUUCACCUGGGUAAGGGCACAGAGUACUACCUGUUGACCAAGUGUCAUGCUUGGAACCCUAAUAAUAAGAAAUAUAGCCACAUGCAGUGAUCUGCAAGGUUGAACGCUCUUUGAAAAUAGCUCCACUGUCUUCAUUUCUUGCUAAGUUAGUUAGAACAGUAAACAGAUCUUAGAUGAACACACUUGUCAAGUUUUGUGACAAUAAAUCAGAGCUAGUUGUGUGAACUGCUGAAAGCUGAUAGGCUGAAGGUGGCCAUGCUUUUUAAAUAAUUCAAAUCGGUCAAAAAUCCUAGUACUAGUUCACAAAAGUAGGUUUCACAUGCAAGUGAACAUGUCCCACUAAUUUGAGUGAGUGGCGCUAAAUGCUCCAAAAGGCAAUUUUAUAUCAUUUGAGCAAAACAAUCAAGCCAAAAAAGAUAUCAAAUAAAAUAUAUAUUUUUUUAAAAAAUCAGAAGCUAUUUUACUGUGCACCUUAUUUUUCAAGAGAUAUGCAUGGCUUUGUGUGCUUUCAGACAGGUGUGAUAUACUGUAAAUUACAACAGAAUCUACCAUUUCUACUUAAGGUGCAAUAUUUGUUUAUUAGGAUGGUAAUUGUGUUGUGUGUUGUUUCAUCUGAUAUAUGUGUGUUGAAUGUAUCAUGUUGUGAUCAAACACCAAGAAAAAUUCCUAAUGCAUGUAAAUGUACACUCACCAAACACUUUAUUAGAACACCUGUGCAAUUAUCAUGCAAUUAUCUAAUUAGCCAAUCAUGUGGCAGCAGUGCAAUGCAAAACGUCAUGCACAUACAGGCCAGCAGCUUUGGGUAAUGUUCACAUCUACCACUAAAAUGAGGAAAAAACGUGAUCUCAGUGAUUUUGACCGUGGCAUGAUUGUUGGUGUCAGACAGGCUGAUCUGAUUAUUUCUAUAACUGCUCAUCUCCUGGGAUUUUCAUGUACAACAGUUUCUAGAGUUUACUCAGAAUGGUGCAAUAAAGAAAAAACAUCCAGUGAGUGGCAGUUGUUGGUAGGAGAGGUCAAUAGAGAAUGGCCAGGCUGGUGGAGGUGGUGUAAUGGUGUGGGGAAUGUUUUCAUGGCACACUUUGGGCACAUUAAUACCAAUCAAUCAUCAUUUGAAUGCCACACCCUAUUUGAGUAUUGUUGCUGAUGAUAAACAUCCCUUUAUGGCCAUAAUUUACCCAUCUUCUAAUGGCUGUUUCUAGCAUGACAACGCAAUCAAGCAUUUAACAAUAAAACUGCUUAAAGUAGCAUGUUCUUUUGAAAUUUGAAAUUUAUUUUUGCACCAGUCCAUCCUAAAUAGCAAUUUAGUGAUGCUGAGGAAGUACAAGAAAGUAUGAUAUUUGAUGUUAACAGUAGGUUAACAAUCACUAGUCUGUAAUUCAGACACUGUUAUUUUUAUUCUAUACCUACUGUACUACAAUUAAUAAUUACAUGAAGUUUGGAGCUCUGUAGCAAUUGACUGUGAAGAAAGUCGACGACCUCUUUGCACUAUGCGCUUCAGCAUCCGCUGACCCCUCUGCGUCAGUUUACGUGGCCUACCACUUCGUGGCUGAGUUGCUGUUGUUCCCAAACUCUUCCAUUUUGUUAUGAUAAAGCUGACAGUUGACUGUGGAAUAUUUAGGAGCGAGGAAAUUUCACGACUGGAUUUGUUGCACAGGUGGCAUCCUAUGACAGUUCCACGCUGGAAUUCACUGAGCUCCUGAGAGCGGCCCAUUCUUUCACAAAUGUUUGUAAAAACAGUCUGCAUGCCUAAGUGCUUGAUUUUAUACACCUGUGGCCAGGCCAAGUGAUUAGGACACCUGAUACUGAACAUUUGGAUGGGUGACCGAAUACUUUUGGUAAUAUA